rnacentral:rRNA from 1 species
ACGAGAAAGUCCGCAAGGAUGAGUAAAGUGGCGACCGGGUGAGUAACACGUGACUACCUGCCCUUGAGUGGGGGAUAACCUCGGGAAACCGAGGCUAAUACCGCAUAAUAUCGCAAGAUCAAAGGAGCAAUCCGCUUUUGGAGGGGGUCGCGGCUGAUUAGCUAGUUGGUAGGGUAAUGGCCUACCAAGGCGAAGAUCGGUAUCCGGCCUGAGAGGGCGCACGGACACACUGGAACUGAAACACGGGCCAGACUCCUACGGGAGGCAGCAGUGGGGAAUCUUGCACAAUGGAGGAAACUCUGAUGCAGCGACGCCGCGUGAGCGAUGAAGCCCUUCGGGGUGUAAAGCUCUUUCGACGGGAACGAUAAUGACGGUACCCGAAGAAGAAGCUGCGGCUAACUACGUGCCAGCAGCCGCGGUAAUACGUAGGCAGCGAGCGUUGUUCGGAAUUACUGGGCGUAAAGAGUGCGUAGGCGGUGCUCUAAGUCUGUCGUGAAAUCUCCCGGCUUAACUGGGAGGGUGCGGCGGAAACUAGAGUGCUCGAGUGUGGGAGAGGUAAGCGGAAUUCCUGGUGUAGCGGUGAAAUGCGUAGAUAUCAGGAGGAACACCUGUGGUGUAGACAGCUUACUGGACCACGACUGACGCUG